GGAGGGAUGGCCGAGUGGUUUAAGGCGGUGGUCUUGAAAACCACUGAGGCGUUACACGUCUCCGGGGGUUCGAAUCCCUCUCCCUCCGCCA
rnacentral:tRNA from 2 species